rnacentral:misc_RNA from 1 species
AAAACAUAUAAUUGACUGCACACAUACUCACAAUCUGAACUCCGCAGCUCGUUGUGCUGGGGCUAAGCUACACGAGGUAUCACCGAGUUCCGGUCUUGUCGUCGAAUCUAGAGUCGAACCAGAGCUGUCUCAGGCCAAUCAUCUGGCCAUAUUGCAGGGUCAGCCAGCCCAUGGCCGAGAAAUAUGCAACAAAGAGGCAGAAUCGACGGAAGCGAACUGCAU